AGUCAAGUAAUUAAGUGCAUGUGGUGGAUGCCUUGGCAGUCAGAGGCGAUGAAAGACGUGAUAGCCUGCGAAAAGCUCCGGGGAGGCGGCAAAUAUCCUUUGAUCCGGAGAUGUCUGAAUGGGGGAACCCACCUACUUUAAGGUAGGUAUUGCAACAUGAAUACAUAGUGUUGCAAGGCGAACGAGGGGAAGUGAAACAUCUCAGUACCCUUAGGAAAAGAAAUCAAUUGAGAUUCCCUCAGUAGCGGCGAGCGAACGGGGAUCAGCCCAUUAAGUUAUGUGUGUUUUAGUGGAACGCUCUGGGAAGUGCGAACGUAGAGGGUGAUAUUCCCGUACACGAAAGGGCACACAUAAUGAUGACGAGUAGGGCGAGGCACGUGAAACCUUGUCUGAAUAUGGGGGGACCAUCCUCCAAGGCUAAAUACUCCUGACUGACCGAUAGUGAACCAGUACCGUGAGGGAAAGGCGAAAAGAACCCCUGUGAGGGGAGUGAAAUAGAUCCUGAAACCGCAUGCAUACAAGCAGUGGGAGCACCUUCGUGGUGUGACUGCGUACCUUUUGUAUAAUGGGUCAGCGACUUAUAUUCAGUAGCGAGGUUAACCGUAUAGGGGAGCCGUAGAGAAAUCGAGUCUUAAUAGGGCGUUUAGUUGCUGGGUAUAGACCCGAAACCAGGCGAUCUAUCCAUGAGCAGG
rnacentral:rRNA from 1 species